GGGAGAACAAGAACAAAAGUACAUAGCAACAUGUGCAGUUACUACAUAAUGUGUAAAUAUUCACUCAUUAAAACAAUACAGAAGAAUCAGUGUUAUAUUGAGAUGCAAGAAGAUGAGUGACCUGUUGUGGAAAGGAGGCCUCCCUGAAAAGUCUAAGCGUGAGCUAUAUGCAUACCCUCUGCAAGAAACCUCAGAAUAUUCAUGAAAGGGGUUCCAAAGCACGAAAUAGUUCAGAGGACUUCAAAAGUUUGGACCUCAUAAUUGCUUGCAGACCUCACUUUGGAUCCCUACUCUUAUCAUUUAUGUGUUUAAAUCCAAAAGAAGGAGAAAUAGCAGAGAAGAGUGAAAAACAAAGUCAUAGGGGGGAAGAACAUGCCUGGGACGCCUUUUGCCAUCAAGCGUGAUCAUUCCAUGGUGUCAAGGACAGCAUUUAUCCAAG